rnacentral:ncRNA from 1 species
AACCGCCGUAUACGGAACCGUACGUACGGUGGUGUGAGAGGUGACUAGCCAAUUAAUGGCUAGUCACCUACUCGAU